CCCCUCCCUGACCUGCUGGGGUGGGGGAGAUAAUUGCUGGGUGGGCUUUUGGGAGGCGGCUGAGGUUAACCUGUCAUGAGGUAAAACACCAAUCUCACUUUAUCUGGGAUGAAACCAGUGUUUCACAGAGAAAUCUCUGACAUCUGACUGUGCCUAUCUGUUGUGUGCCUCAAGUAGUUCUUCAUGAACCUAGGUUGAAGGGGUGGAAGUACAUUAGCAGCUAGCGCUCUGAAAGGUGA